ACGCGUUUGUGCAGCUCAGAUGGCGCCGCCUGUGCCCUAGCUCCGUGGCCCUGGAGACCCUGGCACGGUGUCACUUUUGCACCCUUCCUUCCCCGCCUCCCCAACUUUCCUUUCUGAAUCUUCCAAUUCUGCCCCAGCUGGAGGCGUGCGGGUCCUCUUGCAAACCGGACCAAGGAUGUCUCCCCGAUCCCCGGAUGCUGGAGGCUGGUUGAGUUCAUGUCACCAGCAAACACCGCGCCAGCUGCGAGACCGGCUUGUCUUGAAUUCCUCCCUGCGUGGAAUUCAGAAGGCCUCUUUGGGUUCUGGAUCAAGACCGCUUUUUCUGUGAACAAUCACCAUGAGAAGAACACGCCCCGACUGACCCACUGGUCCAAGGAAGGUGAGACAUGGAGAAGACAGUGACCCAAUCUUCAGCUUGGAGACACGUCCAGCUGAACUCAGUCCACAUCAGUGACCUGCAGAUGCAUAAGUGAGAAUAAACGAUUGUUGGGUUAGG